rnacentral:rRNA from 1 species
UACGUAGGGUGCGAGCGUUGUCCGGAAUUAUUGGGCGUAAAGAGCUCGUAGGCGGCCUGUCGCGUCGGAUGUGAAAGCCCGGGGCUUAACCCCGGGUCUGCAUUCGAUACGGGCAGGCUAGAGUGUGGUAGGGGAGAUCGGAAUUCCUGGUGUAGCGGUGAAAUGCGCAGAUAUCAGGAGGAACACCGGUGGCGAAGGCGGAUCUCUGGGCCAUUACUGACGCUGAGGAGCGAAAGCGUGGGGAGCGAACAGA